GAUGAAGAACGCAGCGAAAUGCGAUACGUAAUGUGAAUUGCAGAAUUCAGUGAAUCAUCGAGUCUUUGAACGCACAUUGCGCCCCCUGGUAUUCCGGGGGGCAUGCCUGUCCGAGCGUCAUUGCUGCCCUCAAGCACGGCUUGUGUGUUGGGCCUCCGCCCCCCGGCUCCCGGGGGGCGGGCCCGAAAGGCAGCGGCGGCACCGCGUCCGGUCCUCGAGCGUAUCGGGCUUCGUCACCCGCUCCGUAGGCCCGGCCGGCGCCCGCCGGCGACCCCCCUCAAUCUUUCCAGGUUGACCUCGGAUCAGGUAGGGAUACCCGCUGAACUUAAGCAUAUCAAUAAGCGGAGGA
rnacentral:misc_RNA from 1 species